rfam:Flavobacterium plurextorum strain CCTG 60112 WGS0045_contig_15, whole genome shotgun sequence.
AUUUAGCCCCGAUUGAGGCGGUAUCCUCGCAGUGGAACGGAGAGAUAUAGCCGAAAGCGGGAACUAUG